rnacentral:rRNA from 1 species
ACGAACGCUGGCGGCGUGCUUAACACAUGCAAGUCGAACGGAAAGGCCCUGCUUUUGUGGGGUGCUCGAGUGGCGAACGGGUGAGUAACACGUGAGUAACCUGCCCUUGACUUUGGGAUAACUUCAGGAAACUGGGGCUAAUACCGGAUAGGAGCUCCUGCUGCAUGGUGGGGGUUGGAAAGUUUCGGCGGUUGGUGAUGGACUCGCGGCUUAUCAGCUUGUUGGUGGGGUAGUGGCUUACCAAGGCUUUGACGGGUAGCCGGCCUGAGAGGGUGACCGGCCACAUUGGGACUGAGAUACGGCCCAGACUCCUACGGGAGGCAGCAGUGGGGAAUAUUGCACAAUGGGCGGAAGCCUGAUGCAGCAACGCCGCGUGCGGGAUGACGGCCUUCGGGUUGUAAACCGCUUUCGCCUGUGACGAAGCGUGAGUGACGGUAAUGGGUAAAGAAGCACCGGCUAACUACGUG